rnacentral:rRNA from 1 species
UGAGUAACACGUGAGUGACCUGCCCUUUAGACUGGAACAACUUACCGAAAGGUGAGCUAAUGCCGGAUGAGUUAUAUAAGUGCAUGUUUAUAUAGGAAAAGUUGGGGAGACCUGACGCUGAAAGAUGGACUCGCGUCCCAUUAGCUAGUUGGUAGGGUAAUGGCCUACCAAGGCGACGAUGGGUAGCCGGCCUGAGAGGGUGGCCGGCCACACUGGGACUGAGACACGGCCCAGACUCCUACGGAAGGCAGCAG